rnacentral:lncRNA from 13 species
GACGAACGAGCAAACUGACGCGAACGACACGCUCGCGGCCACGGCUGAGCCAUCUGGCGACGUGCAUGCUCAUUCUGUUGCCGAUUGCGUGGAUCGCGUGACUCAAUCCGACAACUGAUAACGCAGAUCAGGAGGAGAGCAAAACGCCGUGCGCCAUGCGUAGCAUUGAAUGGCAUUGAAACUCUCAAGGGCAAAACUGAAACUACCGUCGCUGUCAUGUUGUCAACUCAGAGUAUUCGAUAAACAAAUUCGAAUUUGUUUCGUUUUUUAAAAAUAUUGCAAAUGAAAAUGAAGGGGAGGAAGAAGAGGAAGCUAAAGAAGAUAAAGUUAAAUGAGAAAAAGAUGAGGAUGAAAGUAAAUAGCCUAAAAAUAAAUUAAUGAUAAAUUUCUAAAUAAAUUAAGCAAUCCAUUAUUUUUUGAAAGAUUCCACAGUUCUUUACAUUAGUAUAAACAAAUUAAAGUUAUAUAUGGACUAAAUGAUCUCAAGGUCAAGUGGUUAUUUUAGGUGAAGCGUUUCUGGUCACAUCUGGUGAUUCAAUUUGGUCAUAUUCAAUUGAACAAUAAUAAAGAUAAAAAUUUGAGGACAAGAACAUUGAUGGUGCACUCGGUGGUGCAUAAGGGAAAUUGAACUCAUUGGCAGUGUAUCUUGAAAAAACCUUAGAUGAUCUUUUGUAGUAAAGAAGCUGCAAGGGUGUUCUUAGACAUUAAAUGGCUUUCAGAUCUGGAAAAAUAACCUUGACGAAAAUGUAAACAUUCUUUGCUACCUUGUUGGAAUCUUCCACCAUCGCUCUACUCAGCAAAACAGCUCUAGGCAGUUUGUAUGAUGGUGGCGACUUAGGCUGCGGUUCUAUGAGUCUUUUCAAGUCUUUGGACGAUUUAAUUAGAUUGGCACAGACUAACACAUCUUUAGGUGUCGUUUGAUAAUAGGAAUCCUCUUUAUAAUGUAUUUGUUCUUCACGAUUGGCCAGCAAACAAGUGGAAGGAUUCUUUGAGAAUUUCUUAGGAUUAAACACAUAUUCCAAAAAGGUCAACUUCUGUACUGCAAGCUUCUUCUUUGUCGAUGAUGACUUUUGGAAAUUUAAAGACAGUGCUUUUUUCUUUAAUCCUAUUAAGAUAUAUCGGAAAAACUAUGUUAAAAAUACAUAUCUUGAAACUCUAAUAACUUUUAAUUUUAUAAUGUUUUAUAAAUCAUCUUUUUAAUAAAUUUACCAUAAUA